rnacentral:rRNA from 1 species
GAUGAACGCUGGCGGCGUGCCUAAUACAUGCAAGUCGAACGGAGAUCUAGCAAUAGGUCUUAGUGGCGAACGGGUGAGUAACGCGUUGGUGACCUGCCCCGAAGAGGGGGAUAACAGCUCGAAAGGGCUGCUAAUACCCCAUGAGGUCUCUGGAGUUAGAGACUGGAGACGAAAGGAGCAAUCCGCUUUGGGAGGGGCCUGCGUCCCAUCAGCUAGUUGGUAGGGUAAAAGCCUACCAAGGCGAAGACGGGUAGGGGACCUGAGAGGGUGACCCCCCACACUGGCACUGAAACACGGGCCAGACACCUACGGGUGGCUG